ACGCACGCUGGCGGCGUGCCUCAUACAUGCAAGUCGCGCGAAGUUUUUCUGGUGCUUGCACCGGAAAAACUUAGCGGCGAACGGGUGAGUAACACGUAAAGAACCUGCCUCAUAGACUGGGACAACUAUUGGAAACGAUAGCUAAUACCGGAUAAUAGCAUUAACUGCAUGGUUGAUGUUUAAAAGUUGGUUUUGCUAACACUAUGAGAUGGCUUUGCGGUGCAUUAGCUAGUUGGUGGGGUAAAGGCCUACCAAGGCGACGAUGCAUAGCCGACCUGAGAGGGUGAUCGGCCACACUGGGACUGAGACACGGCCCAGACUCCUACGGGAGGCAGCAGUAGGGAAUCUUCCGCAAUGGGCGAAAGCCUGACGGAGCAACGCCGCGUGAGUGAAGAAGGAUUUCGGUUCGUAAAGCUCUGUUGUUAGGGAAGAAUGAUUGUGUAGUAACUAUACACAGUAGAGACGGUACCUAACCAGAAAGCCACGGCUAACUACGUG
rnacentral:rRNA from 1 species